GACGAACGCUGGCGGCGUGCUUAACACAUGCAAGUCGAACGGAAAGGCCCUGCUUUUGUGGGGUGCUCGAGUGGCGAACGGGUGAGUAACACGUGAGUAACCUGCCCUUGACUUUGGGAUAACUUCAGGAAACUGGGGCUAAUACCGGAUAGGAGCUCCUGCUGCAUGGUGGGGGUUGGAAAGUUUCGGCGGUUGGGGAUGGACUCGCGGCUUAUCAGCUUGUUGGUGGGGUAGUGGCUUACCAAGGCUUUGACGGGUAGCCGGCCUGAGAGGGUGACCGGGGAAAGGGGGAAAGGGAAAAGGAGGGGAGAACGACGGGAGGGAAGAGGGGGGGAAAGAGGAAGAGAGGGGGGAGAAAGAAGGAGAAAAGCAGGGGGGGGGAGGAGGGCGUUAGGGAUGGAAAAAGCGUUUGCGUGUGACGAAGGGCGAGUGAAGGGAAUGGGGAAAGGAGCAGCGGAAGACUAAGA
rnacentral:rRNA from 1 species